ACUCUCUUAAUUCUGCAUAGUCAUACUUGGCUUUAUCUGUGUGACUUUCAUAAUGGGGAGAGAGAAAAAUGAUCUCCUUGGGACCUCAGAUUGGCCUUAUGGUGGCCUCUCUUUCCUGGACAACUGGU
rnacentral:snoRNA from 1 species